UAUAUAAAAUGUUUUUGGUGAAAGUGUUUUAGGAGGGUGGGGUGAGGAAUUUCGGAAAAUUCACCGGCGUCCACUUCAAUUCGUGUUUACUUUCAAGAAAAUUGAUACUUUUUAAUGAAAUUCUCUACAAAUAUA